rnacentral:rRNA from 1 species
UGGGGAAUAUUGCACAAUGGAGGGAACUCUGAUGCAGCGACGCCGCGUGAGUGAUGAAGGACUUCGUUUCGUAAAACUCUGUUCUAUGGGAAGAAAAGGACUGUACCAUAGGAGAAAGCUCCGGCUAAAUACGUGCCAGCAGCCGCGGUAAUACGUAUGGAGCGAGCGUUGUCCGGAAUUAUUCGGCGUAAAGGGUGCGCAGGCGGCUUUACAAGUUGGAUGUGAAAUAUUGUGGCUCAACCACAAACGUGCAUCCAAAACUGCAAAGCUUGAGUUAAGGAGAGGUAAGUGGAAUUCCUGGUGUAGCGGUGGAAUGCGUAGAUAUCAGGAGGAAUACCGGUGGCGAAGGCGACUUACUGGACUUAAACUGACGCUCAGGCACGAAAGCGUGGGGAGCAAACAGG